UACGUAGGGGGCAAGCGUUGUCCGGAUUUAUUGGGCGUAAAGAGCGUGUAGGCGGUUUGGUAGGUCCGCUGUGAAAACUCGAGGCUCAACCUCGAGACGCCGGUGGAAACCAUCAGACUAGAGUCCGGAAGAGGAGAGUGGAAUUCCUGGUGUAGCGGUGAAAUGCGCAGAUAUCAGGAAGAACACCCGUGGCUAAGGCGGCUCACUGGUCCGGUACUGACGCUGAGGUGCGAAAGCGUGGGGAGCAAACAGG
rnacentral:rRNA from 1 species